rnacentral:rRNA from 1 species
GACGAACGCUGGCGGCGUGCUUAACACAUGCAAGUCGAACGGAAAGGCCCUGCUUUUGUGGGGUGCUCGAGUGGCGAACGGGUGAGUAACACGUGAGUAACCUGCCCUUGACUUUGGGAUAACUUCAGGAAACUGGGGCUAAUACCGGAUAGGAGCUCCUGCUGCAUGGUGGGGGUUGGAAAGUUUCGGCGGUUGGGGAUGGACUGGCGGCUUAUCAGCUUGUUGGUGGGGUAGUGGCUUACCAAGGCUUUGACGGGUAGCCGGCCUGAGAGGGUGACCGGCGACCUUGGGACUGAGAUACGGCGCAGACUCCUACGGGAGGCAGCAGUGGGGAAUAUUGCACAAUGGGCGGAAGCCUGAUGCAGCAACGCCGCGUGCGGGAUGACGGUCUUCGGGUUGUAAACCGCUUUCGCCUGUGACGAAGCGUGAGUGACGGUAAUGGGUAAAGAAGCACCGGCUAACUACGUG